rnacentral:rRNA from 1 species
GCCUAACACAUGCAAGUCGAGCGGAAACGAGUUAUCUGAACCUUCGGGGGACGAUAACGGCGUCGAGCGGCGGACGGGUGAGUAAUGCCUAGGAAAUUGCCCUGAUGUGGGGGAUAACCAUUGGAAACGAUGGCUAAUACCGCAUGAUGCCUACGGGCCAAAGAGGGGGACCUUCGGGCCUCUCGCGUCAGGAUAUGCCUAGGUGGGAUUAGCUAGUUGGUGAGGUAAGGGCUCACCAAGGCGACGAUCCCUAGCUGGUCUGAGAGGAUGAUCAGCCACACUGGAACUGAGACACGGUCCAGACUCCUACGGGAGGCAGCAGUGGGGAAUAUUGCACAAUGGGCGCAAGCCUGAUGCAGCCAUGCCGCGUGUGUGAAGAAGGCCUUCGGGUUGUAAAGCACUUUCAGUCGUGAGGAAGGUGGUGUAGUUAAUAGCUGCAUUAUUUGACGUUAGCGACAGAAGAAGCACCGGCUAACUCCGUGCCAGCAGCCGCGGUAAUACGGAGGGUGCGAGCGUUAAUCGGAAUUACUGGGCGUAAAGCGCAUGCAGGUGGUUUGUUAAGUCAGAUGUGAAAGCCCGGGGCUCAACCUCGGAAUAGCAUUUGAAACUGGCAGACUAGAGUACUGUAGAGGGGGGUAGAAUUUCAGGUGUAGCGGUGAAAUGCGUAGAGAUCUGAAGGAAUACCGGUGGCGAAGGCGGCCCCCUGGACAGAUACUGACACUCAGAUGCGAAAGCGUGGGGAGCAAACAGGAUUAGAUACCCUGGUAGUCCACGCCGUAAACGAUGUCUACUUGGAGGUUGUGGCCUUGAGCCGUGGCUUUCGGAGCUAACGCGUUAAGUAGACCGCCUGGGGAGUACGGUCGCAAGAUUAAAACUCAAAUGAAUUGACGGGGGCCCGCACAAGCGGUGGAGCAUGUGGUUUAAUUCGAUGCAACGCGAAGA